UACGUAGGGGGCGAGCGUUGUCCGGAUUCAUUGGGCGUAAAGCGCGCGUAGGCGGCCCCGCAAGUCGGCCGUGAAAUCUCCGGGCUCAACUCGGAGGGGUCGGGCGAGACUGCGAGGCUCGAGGUGGGCAGAGGGCAGUGGAAUUCCCGGUGUAGCGGUGAAAUGCGCAGAUAUCAGGAGGAACACCGGUGGCGAAGGCGGGUCUCUGGGCCGAUACUGACGCUGAGGAGCGAAAGCGUGGGGAGCGAACAGG
rnacentral:rRNA from 1 species